rnacentral:rRNA from 1 species
GGGUGCGAUCAUGCCAGCGUUAAUGCACUAGAUCCCAUCAGAACUCUGCAGUUAAGUGCGCUUGGGAUAGAGUGGUACUGGGAUGGGUGACCUCCCAGGAAGUCCUAGUGUUGCACACU